CGCAAUCUUGAUGCCUCUUUCUCUGCAUGGUCUGUAGGCCACCCUUGAACAUGUUUAUGAGAUUAUCAUUGAAGUGUGCUGCUAGAGUAGGUGUUAAUGAGCAUGCAGGCCUAGCAGAUGUGUUCUGUGGUACAACAGCUCCAGUUGAUUCAUUACUACUACAAGUAUGAUUUGGACCAGGUGAUGGACUUCUCUGGCUGCUUAAGCGCUGAAGACUUCGUGGAGAGACAGGGUCAUGGCCCUGCUGCUUGUCAGCAGUCACAGGCUGCUGUGUAGCCGAAUGUGACACUGGUCCUGGCUUAACUACUGGAGUACUAAACUUUGGCUGUGAUGAGACAGGCAGAGUACUAAUCAAAGGUUUAAUGGGGACUGUGUUAGUCUGAGGUGUGCUUAUUCUUGGAGACACAUAGGAUCUUGGGGAUGAAGCAUCAGACAUUAGAGACAUUGGAGACUGAUUAGAUGGCUGGGCUUGUGUAGAAAGCUGGGCAGCUUGAGAAAUCAGAGAGGUGAUGUUGAAAGCAGAUGGUCCAGCAGUAAGAAACUUGUGGAUGAUAGACUGCAGGGAAGCUUGUGUUACAGCUGCUGUAAGAACUUCAUUUAUUUUGGAUAUGUCCACAUUAGAAUUAUUAAGCUGUAGCGUGGCUUGCAAAGCAAAAAGCAACUGUCUAAAAAGGUUUGGGUCCUGAAGUAAUGGAGGUAUUGUUGACUGUGGGACGGGAGAAACAGGUACGGCUGAAGCAGAUGUUGGGGGCGCAGAUGUAGGAUUCAGGCCAGAGGCUGAAGAUGUGGAAGGAGUUGUGCAAGAGUGUGAUACUGACUUGUCUCCUGGACCAGAUUCUUUUCUCUCUGUUUUCUGUGCAGGGAGAGAAGCUGUGGGUGUAAGCAGUUUUGAUAAAGUAGAUGCUCCAUUAACAUCAAAUGAUUUCUUUGGCUGGUGAUCAGACUGAAGCGUAAAUGGACUAGAAGGAACAGUGCUUGGGGUAGCGGUUGGAGGAACCACUGGUUUGAUGGGGUGCUGUACUGGCGUAGAGCUACUGUGAGUCUCUGCUCUUGGCAGUCUGUAGUCUUUGUCAUUGUGUCUGCUUGUUUGAGACAAAAUAUUCUGUGGGAGCAAACUACUGGCAUCGCUGGAAUGCUUGUCUUCCAUUCCACUGGUGAACCCACUAGUGGCUGCUGCUUGCAUCACCUCUCUUCUGUAAUCCCUGUCUUUUGGGAAACUAUUAACUGCCAACUUAUUUGCUUCUUUUUGUCUCUGUUCUCUUUCAAGCCACUCUUUUGGUUUCUCCCACUGUGAAACUUCUGUGCGACAAUUGUAGUAGUAUUUUUUUCCAGAUGAGCUAAUGUGCUCAGACCAAUCAUCUGCAGAAUCAUAAGGUGCAUCGGAAGCUUUGCUCGGAUUAUUGCUUGGAUUAGAAUAAUGUGAAUUUGAACUAUGAAGAGCACUGUGGUUGUGUGAGUUUUCUUGUGGAGAGUAACUGGUCCCACCUUCCCUUUCUCUAACUCAUUGAGUAUGCACAUUUUUGGCCUUAUUGUGACCUGUGUUGUCACUGUAUUUGUUUUCAGGACUAUUAGAUCUCCGCAACAUUUUGUUUGGUGGUGAAGGAUCUGCGGUGUCUCGCAUCUUUUCAUGUCUGUGAUCACCACUGCUGGGGUGACUCUUUGAGGAAUACUUAAGUGUCUGGAAAGGCUGAGAGUCCCCCCUCCGGUCCUGACAGCCAUCACUGAGUCUCUGCUGUUUCCUCGCAUACAUUACCAUCAAUGCCCGGCUGUGUGUGACACUCCUGCAGCCUUCUUGAUGC
ensembl:lncRNA